rnacentral:rRNA from 1 species
AUUGAACGCUGGCGGCAGGCCUAACACAUGCAAGUCGAGCGAGCGGCGGACGGGUGAGUAAUGUAUGGGGACUGCCCGAUAGAGGGGGAUAACUACUGGAAACGGUGGAUAAUACCGCAUACUAUCGGAUAACCCAUAGGGGAUUAGCUAGUAGGUGGGGUAAAGGCUCACCUAGGCGACGAUCUCUAGCUGGUCUGAGAGGAUGAUCAGCCACGCUGGGACUGAGACGCGGCCCAUACUCAUACGGCGGCAGGAGUGGAGAAUAUUGCACAAUGGGCGAAAGCCUGAUGCAACCAUGCCGCGUGUAUGAAGGAGGCCUGAGGGUUGUAAAGUACUUUAAGCGGAGAAGCGUUACCCGCAGAAGAAGCACGGGCUAACUCCGUGCAAGCAGCCGCGGUAAUA